GACGAACGCUGGCGGCGUGCUUAAUACAUGCAAGUCGAGCGAGGUUACUGUUUCGGAUCCCUUCGGGGUGAAGAAGCUUUAACCUAGCGGCGGACGGGUGAGUAACGCGUGGGUAACCCUACCCCAAAGUCCGGGAUAACAGCGGGAAACCGCUGCUAAUACCGGAUGCCUUUACCUUGGGGCAUCUUGAGGUAAAGAAAGGUAACGCUUUGGGAUGGGCCCGCGUCCCAUUAGCUAGUUGGUGAGGUAACGGCUCACCAAGGCAACGACGGGUAGCCGGCCUGAGAGGGUGGUCGGCCACACUGGGACUGAGACACGGCCCAGACUCCUACGGGAGGCAGCAGUGGGGAAUCUUCCGCAAUGGGCGAAAGCCUGACGGAGCGACGCCGCGUGGGUGAAGAAGGCCUUCGGGUCGUAAAGCACUGUUGUAUGGGAAGAACAGCUAGAAUAGGGAAUGAUUUUAGUUUGACGGUACCAUACCAGAAAGGGACGGCUAAAUACGUG
rnacentral:rRNA from 1 species